rnacentral:rRNA from 1 species
GAUGAACGCUGGCGGCGUGCCUAAUACAUGCAAGUUGUGCGGUAACAGAGAGAGCUUGCUCUCUGCUGACGAGCGGCGGACGGCAGAGUAACGCGUAGGAACAUACCCCAAACUGAGGGAUAACUGCUCGAAAGAGUAGCUAAUACCGCAUGUGGUCUUUCGGAUUAAAAGCUUCGGCGGUUUGGGAGUGGCCUGCGUCCGAUUAGCUAGUUGGUGAGGUAAUUGCUCACCAAGGCGACGAUCGGUAGCUGGUCUGAGAGGAUGAUCAGCCUGACUGGAACUGAGAACGGUCCAGACUCCUACGGGAGGCAGCAGUAGGGAAUUUUCCACAAUGGGCGAAAGCCUGAUGGAGCAACGGCCGCGUGCAGGAU